UACGUAGGUGGCAAGCGUUGUCCGGAUUUAUUGGGCGUAAAGCGCGCGCAGGCGGUCUUUUAAGUCUGAUGUGAAAGCCCCCGGCUUAACCGGGGAGGGUCAUUGGAAACUGGAAGACUGGAGUGCAGAAGAGGAGAGUGGAAUUCCACGUGUAGCGGUGAAAUGCGUAGAUAUGUGGAGGAACACCAGUGGCGAAGGCGACUCUCUGGUCUGUAACUGACGCUGAGGCGCGAAAGCGUGGGGAGCAAACAGG
rnacentral:rRNA from 1 species